UCGGGAAUAUUGCGCAAUGGAGGAAACUCUGACGCAGUGACGCCGCGUAUAGGAUGAAGGUUUUCGGAUUGUAAACUAUUGUCAACAGGGAAGAAAAAGACAGUACCUGAAGAGGAAGCCCCGGCUAACUAUGUGCCAGCAGCCGCGGUAAUACAUAGGGGGCGAGCGUUAUCCGGAUUUAUUGGGUGUAAAGGGUGCGUAGACGGGAAGGCAAGUUAGUUGUGAAAGCCCUCGGCUUAACUGAGGAACUGCAACUAAAACUAUCUUUCUUGAGUGCAGGAGAGGAAAGUGGAAUUCCUAGUGUAGCGGUGAAAUGCGUAGAUAUUAGGAGGAACACCAGUGGCGAAGGCGACUUUCUGGACUGUAACUGACGUUGAGGCACGAAAGUGUGGGGAGCAAACAGG
rnacentral:rRNA from 1 species